rfam:Danio rerio chromosome 4, GRCz11 reference primary assembly.
GGCUCAUUGGUCUAGGGGUAUGAUUCUCGCUUAGGGUGCAGGAGGUCCUGGGUUCAAAUCCCGGAUGAGCCC